rnacentral:lncRNA from 11 species
ACAAUUGGGGACCCACAUGUUGAGACCCACUGUGCUAGAUAAUGCCAGAAUCUAUCAAACAAUGCAAACAGGAUGUAUUAGCCAUUUCAUUUUACCAACAGAGGUUCUUCCUUUUAACUUUUGAUUAUUUUGACAAACUUUGAAAAACAAUUUGUGGGCACAAACUGGCUGGUAUUUAUGUUCCAAGAACUCUUAGGUGUAAUGAAACAGCAUGAAAGACUUUGAAUGCCCAGGGGCUUCAAAGAAAAGGUCCACGAAACUAAAUGCUUUCAGCACAAGGCUAUCUUCUUCUGCUCUCUGAAUCACUUUAUCUACAUUUCCUACAGAGAAAAUAAAAGAGAAAGUACCAGUGAAAGGCCUUGACCUGGAUUGUUGAGAUUAAUUGUGGAGUGCAGUGAGUAAUGCAACAAACACAAUGGCUUGACAAUAGAAAUAUAAGAGCUUCAAGCCGGAAAUACUAACAAUAUAUUCAUCAUUUCCAGGACGUGCAUGGUAAAAUGGAAGAACUUUUGAGUGGAAUCCGAGGCCGGCCAUGUGUGGAGGGCCUUCUUCCUUGCCUUGCCAUCCUCCUCGGGGCCCUUUGUGGGAACCAAACCCAGCCCUUUUGGGGGAGAAGCGGCACCCAUUACGGAAACCUGGAGACAUUUAUGAGAGUUGCAAAACUUAUCCGAAAGCCAUAGAGCAGUCGUUCCCAACCUUUAAGAGACUGUGGACCACAGAGGCAAAAAUUGGGUACAUUGUGGACUUUUGAGCUCAAUCAACCCAUCUUCCUGCCACUGCACACAAAGAAAUUAAAUGAGUUAUUAUUAUUUUGUGAUAUACAGAUAAAACACCAU